UGGGGAAUUUUGGACAAUGGGGGAAACCCGUGAUCCAGCCAUUCCGCGUGAGUGAAGAAGGCCUUCGGGUUGUAAAGCUCUUUCGGCAGGAACGAAACGGUUUGGGUUAAUACCCCAGACUACUGACGGUACCUGAAGAAGAAGCACCGGCUAACUACGUGCCAGCAGCCGCGGUAAUACGUAGGGUGCGAGCGUUAAUCGGAUUUACUGGGCGUAAAGCAUGCGCAGGCGGCGGUUCAAGUCAGGUGUGAAAUCCCCGAGCUUAACUUGGGAAUUGCGCUUGAAACUAGAUCGCUAGAGUACGGCAGAGGGGGGUAGAAUUCCACGUGUAGCAGUGAAAUGCGUAGAGAUGUGGAGGAACACCGAUGGCGAAGGCAGCCCCCUGGGCCUGUACUGACGCUCAUGCAUGAAAGCGUGGGGAGCAAACAGGAUUAGAUACCCUGGUAGUCCCUGAGCGGGCUGGCAAGGCGCAU
rnacentral:rRNA from 1 species